ACAGUCCGAGUGAGUGGAGCAGCGGCCGCACACGAGCGCGCAGACUCCGGACUGAACCGUCCAGCGGACACACGUGAGAAACCUGAGAAGAAAUGCUGAGCUCUUCGCAGAUGGUCCUGCUCGCCGGCUUCUGGAUCGCCGCGGCUGAAGUGAUUCGUGUUGAGGAAGUUGACAAUGCAACUCAUGCUGAAGAGUAUCGAUGCAUUGGCGGUGGUGACGUUGCAGCCACUAAAUACACCUGGCACAGGGUGUGUCAGGCUCCAGCCCUCAUGGGCCAAAACACUGCAGACUUCAGCACACAGCAUCAUUAAAUGCACCUGAUUGAGCUCAUUAGCUAAUUGGCAAGGCCUUCAUGAUCUUGAGAAAGAGAGCUUCCUAAGUUGGAUGUUACCUAAAGCAGUUUUGUGACUGUGGACUCUGCCCAUCUCUUCAUUGCUGAUCUUCAGGGAUGAAUAGACGUGCUCAUGGGCCCCACACCUAUUUUGUUUUUCUGU